AUACGUAGGGUGCAAGCGUUAAUCGGAAUUACUGGGCGUAAAGCGUGCGCAGGAGGUUUCUUAAGUCUGAUGUGAAAGCCCACGGCUCAACCGGGGAGGGUCCUUGGAAACUGGGGUACUUGAGUGAAGAAGAGGAUAGUGGAAUUCAAAGUGUAACGGGGAAAUGCGUAGAGAUUUGGAGGAAAACCAGUGGAGAAGGCGUCUUUCUGGUCUGUAACUGACACUGGGGGGCGAAAUCGUGGGGAGCAAACAGGAUUAGAUACCCUGGUAGUCCACGCCGUAAACGAUGAGUGCUAAGUGUUGGGGGGUUGCCGCCCCUCAUUGCUGCAGCUAACGCAUUAAGCACUCCGCCUGGGGAGUCCGGUCGCAAGACUGAAACUCAAAUGAAUUGACGGGG
rnacentral:rRNA from 1 species